ensembl:lncRNA
UUUACUUACCUGACCUUCUAAGUGAAAAACAGGAGAAAACUGAGUCAACAGUUAACAAUUUAUUAAGUUUUCAGACAAAGACACUAAGUAACACUUGGAAGCACAGACUGUUUGUUGGGUGGUGGAGGCUAGGAGAGAGGGGACCAGGGGGUUGUCAUCACUACUGGGGUGAUCAACCAACUAUUCAAUCCCAGAACAGGAAUGAAUUCCACCCAAUGACUCAGCAGGCGCUGGACUCCAGUAAGACACACCUAGGUGUACACACCUGAGAGAGAGAGAGAAACAAAAACCCACAGCCAUCCUUUGGUGGGAGGAGUCCCACAUAAAUCACAAACAAUCACAACAUUGACUCAUCACAUGUUGGAGCUGGAGGUGCAGUCGUGGGUCAGCAGCGUGAAGAGUAGCGGGCUCAGCACACAUCCCCGGGGGGGUGGGCUGUGCUCAGUGUGAUGGUGUUGGAUCUUAUAUUUCCAACCUGUACUGUCUGGGGUCCAUCAGUAAGAAAGACCAGGAUCCUGUUGCAGGUGGAGGUGUUAAGUCUGAGCAGGUCCAGCUUGCCGAUCAGCUGCUGGGCAAUGAUGGUGUUGAAUGCUAAGAUGAAAUCAGUGAACAGCAUUCUUAGGUGGACGUUGCAUUGAUCCAGUUGUGAUAGGGCUAGGUGCAGUCGUGGGUCAGCAGCGUGAAGAGUAGCGGGCUCAGCACACAUCCCCGGGGGGGUGGGCUGUGCUCAGUGUGAUGGUGCUGGAUCUUAUAUUUCCAACCUGUACUGUCUGGGGUCCAUCAGUAAGAAAGACCAGGAUCCUGUUGCAGGUGGAGGUGUUAAGUCUGAGCAGGUCCAGCUUGCCGAUCAGCUGCUGGGCAAUGAUGGUGUUGAAUGCUAAGAUGAAAUCAGUGAACAGCAUUCUUAGGUGGACGUUGCAUUGAUCCAGUUGUGAUAGGGCUAGGUGGAGUGCCAAUGAGAUCGCAUCGUCCAUUGUCUUCGAACUGCGAGGCUGUAGCUGUCUUUGGUACAGGUAAGAUGGUGGUGGUUUUAAAGCACUUGGCACAACAGCUUGACUCAGGGAGAUGUUAAAGAUGCCCGCUAGGACAUCAGUCAGCUGGUCAGCACAGGCUCCGAGCACACGUCCGGGUAUAUUGUCUGGUCCAGCAGCUUUGUGUGGGUUGACUUUAGUGAGAGUCCUUCUCACACUGGCCGUGCACAGGGACAGCACUUGGUUGUCUGGCGAGGGGGUGGCCCUCUAUAGACAGUACUGCAUCCCAUUUAAAGAAGUGCGUGUUCACACUGCCCCUGGAUGUCCUGGCCUCUGAGGUUAAGGUGUACGGCUCCUGGUUGUAAACUGACCAAUUUAUCAUGGCAAAGGCUGUGGUGGAAAAAAGAUAAGAGGCUGAUUAUAAAAAUGAUCCAUGCAUGCCUUAUGACCUAUACAGCAUGUACAGAUAACAC